rnacentral:rRNA from 1 species
AACGAACGCUGGCGGCAUGCCUAACACAUGCAAGUCGAACGGCACCUCCGUGUCUGCUUGCUCACACGUGUGUCAAGCGUCGGAACCUUCCCUUAUGUUUCGGAUUCUUCCCCUACAUGGGGUCUAAUAUCGGGUAAUUUCCUCUGACCAAGGAUUUAUCGCCGUUGGAUGGGCCCGCGAUGGAUUAGCUAGUUGGUAUUGUAUAAGCCUACCAAGGCGACGAUCCAUAGCUGGUUUGAGAGGAUGAUCAGCCACACUGGGACUGAGACACGACCCAGACACAUACGGGAGGCAGCAGUGGGGAAUAUUGGACAAUGGGCGAAAGACUGAUCCAGCAAUGCCGCGUGAGUGAUGAAGGCCUUAGGGUUGUAAAGCUCUUUUACCCGGGAUGAUAAUGACAGUACCGGGAGAAUAAGCGCCGGCUAACUCCGUG